rnacentral:rRNA from 1 species
UACGUAGGGUGCAAGCGUUGUCCGGAAUUAUUGGGCGUAAAGAGCUUGUAGGCGGUUUGUCGCGUCUGCUGUGAAAUUUCGGGGCUCAACCCCGGACUUGCAGUGGGUACGGGCAGACUAGAGUGUGGUAGGGGAGACUGGAAUUCCUGGUGUAGCGGUGAAAUGCGCAGAUAUCAGGAGGAACACCGGUGGCGAAGGCGGCUUGCUGGGACGGUACUGACGCUGAGACGCGAAAGCGUGGGGAGCAACAGG